rnacentral:rRNA from 1 species
AUAAGUAAGCGGAGGAUAAGAAACUAAAUAGGAUUCCCUCAGUAAUGGCGAAUGAACAGGGAUUAGCUCAGCAUGGAAAUCGGGGCCUCUGGCCUUGAAUUGUAGUCUCGAGAAGUAUCGCCAACGGAGGCGCAGAUGUAAGCCUCUUGGAAAAGAGCAUCAACGAGGGUGAGAGUCCCGUUUGUCAUCUGCAGUCCCCCGUGCACGGUGUACUUUCUAAAGAGUCACGUUCCUCGGGAUUGGAGCGCAAAGUGGGUGGUAAAUUUCAUCUAAAGCUAAAUAUAGGUUCGAGACCGAUAGCAAACAAGUACCAUGAGGGAAAGGUGAAAAGGACUUUGAAAAGAGAGUUAAAAGUGCCUGAAAUUGCUGAAAGGGAAGCGAAUGGAACCAGUGCUUCUUGGCAAGAUUGGUGCGUGCUAAUGUGAUUGCCUGCUUCCUCAGCGCAAGCGUGGCUGUGGGUUUUGAUCAGGACGCGCGUGUUGUUUCUUGCCUUGUGUGUCAUCGUCAGUUCUCAAUCGAGGAAAACGCCAGGGACAUGGUAGUUUGCCCAUGGGUGAGCGAAUGUGCUUGGUUGAACUCAUUUGUGAACUGGUUCUUGCGUGUCUGGUUGCAGUGCUCUGUGUCCCCAUGACUCUUUGGUGGGCUUGCCUUCCUUGGAUGGAGUGGGUGACCAGGACAUCUCCCUGACACAACGACGUUGACUAAAUGGUUCUAUUCGACCCGUCUUGAAACACGGACCAAGGAGUCUAACAUAUGUGCGAGUUCACGGGCGGGUAAACCUGCUUGCGCAAUGAAAGUGACUGCUGGGAUCUUUGCACCAGCAACCGACCAAUCAAUUGAGAGAGGUUUGAGUAUGAGCAUAUCUGUUAGGACCCGAAAGAUGGUGAACUAUGCGUGGUUAGGGCAAAGUCAGGGGAAACUCUGAUGGAGGCUCGUAGCGAUACUGACGUGCAAAUCGUUCGUCAAAAC